AUGGCACAUAGCUUGUGCUCAAUUCAGAAACAAGCCUACAUGAAGGAAGCCUACAUUAAUCAGCGUAAUUUAUACCUUUAUCCUCAGUCCCUUGACAUGCAAUUGAAAUCAACAUCAGCUGAGAUUUUCAUAGAUAGACUGCAUUUCUGCUUUCAGAAGUCCUGCAUCUAGAGAGGGGAGCAGACUCACCGUUUUGAACAGGCAAUGAGAAAUGUCCAUAGAAACUGUGGUAUUUAGGUGAGGUAUUCUUUAUGAAUGAAAAGCUUUGAUACAUUUUCUAACUUAUGAGACAAUUCAGUAAUGAAUAACUCAGGAAGAUUAUAAAAUUCUCCUUCCUGUCACUUCUGAAAUACAGGUUAGACAAACUUCUUGGCAGAGACAUUUUUAAUCCCAUGGUGAAUAAACUGAGUUCCAUAAAGUUGCUUAACCAACCUAUUCCAUGUCUCACAUUCAUUGUUUGCAAAAUCAUAAAACAUUUUCAUCAAAUAAAGUUUCUACAGUUCUGUUGUUGUAAGGUUUCUUUUUGUGGUGUGUGUCUGUGAAUAAAUGAAACUGUUAAUAACUAUUCAUAUUCCCAUAUUUCCUUGUCAGAGAUCACCUCUGUUACUAUAUUAUCUUGUGUAGAAAGAAAUGCUCUCUAGUACAGAAAGCACUUGUGAAGGGACCUGGGAUCCGAAGAGAACACUGUCCAUGAUAAAAAGGACCACAAGAAAUGUCAAGUUAUUGUGGGUUGUAGGAGAUAAAAUUAGAAGCAGACUGUGGGAAAAGCAAAUAAGUACUGAAAAGUAAGUUAACUCCAGCAUUGUUGUGUAUGGAUAAAAGAUCUGGCCACGUAACAACAACAACAAGCAACAAGUUGUUAACAGAUGCUUGAACUUAAUAUUGAAACAGAAGAAGUGUUGAUAUAAUUCUGUUGAUAUAAUUCUGUUGUGUUGUUGUUGGCAGAAGACAUUAGUUAAACUUUAGGGAAAGGGUAAAUUGUAGACUUCUGUUUAUUUUCUCAAGCAAAAAACUUCUGAUUUGGCUCUUUACCUAUUUUUGUAUGGACUUUUCAUCAUACUGUGUGAGUAUGAAAUCAUUCAGACAAACAUUUCACAUGUCAGUAAAGCUAUGUGUACGUUUUACCCUAGCACAUUUCAUUCCACUAAACCAUAUCUAUUACUUAAGCUAUGUAACAUUAAUUUUUCAGUUGGAAUAACAGAAAAAAACUGAAAAGAGAAUUGUCUACAGAGUAAUGUAAUUGUGAAGUAAGCUGGGAGGAAAUAAGACCCUGAAUAGUAGCGAAUUAUCAUUAGAUCUUCUUUGGGGCACUUUUUUUUCCCAUUCUAUUCAGUCCUAUCUGGACUGACUGACUUUUCUGACACUAGAAAUGCCCACACUCCGAGGGCUACCUCAGCAGCAUAGAACAGCCAUGUGAGGUAGAUAUUCUGAGCAACUUCCUCAUGAAGACGAAGCUACAGCAGAAUGUGAUACAGAGAUGCCAGAGCUCAUGUUAAUUGAUGCAGAAGCAUGUCCGCAUGCUUGUCUUCUGCAGCACUGCGCGGAAGCUGUGUGAGACUGAAAGAAAAACAUCUCCAUUAGAGUGGUGCAGAGUCACUGUAUUUUCAUGGUGCACGUUUACCACUCAGCCCCAUUGACUCUCAUAGUUCUCUACUGGAGACCACUCCAUCAUGCAGUGGUGUACUGCUUGACUGAUUGAGAAAGAAGCAAAUGAAGGUAAGGUAUGAUAUGGAGGUUGCCAUUAUCCAGAGAAAUAGUCCAACAGUUCUGAUUGCCAGGCUCCUAAGCUAAUAUUAAUUAAUUUCUGAUGAGCAUAUACAUUUGUUUUUUAUUUUUCUGGGCUAUUGUGCUGCCAGUUCCCAAGACCAAUAAAGACAUGAAAAGUUAAAUAUGUGCUACACUCAGUUUUUGUUUGUGCAUAUUCCAGCUCUAAUCUCUUCUGAAUUAAUAGGCUCUAUUUUGGAAGUGGUUGUUGUUACCCUGCAAUUUAACUGCAGAAGGUGUCAUGAAGAAUGAAGCCUUUUUUCCAAACAGGUAUCUGCAUCCAUUCUGCAGAGUGACCUGUUCACAGACCAGAAAAUAUCUUGGCUUCCAACUGUCUCACAGAAUGACUAAAUUUUUGCCUUAACGUAAGUAAAAGAAUCAGCCUAGCCCCACUUGAAUUAUUUUUGUGUUUAACUCAGUUUUGAGCUCACUGACCACUACAAACCAAGAGGGGAAUGAAUUUCUUUACAAGUAUUGACUCAAAUACCUGUGGUUGGCAGUAAAACUAUACGUUGGAGGAAAGGUUGGUGGAUUUCUGUUCUUCCCUUCAAGAACGUGCCAAUAGAGUGUUUUCCAUCUGAGUCAUUAUCUCACCGUCACUGAAGUUGGAAGGUGCAAGUUUUUUUCAAAUCUGAUUAAAGAGGGAGUGCCUUGUCUGCCCCAACACACUGUGGCUAUUAUCUGGAGCAAUCACUUCCUUUUAAAACGUGAAUAGUUUUAUGCAACCAAUAAGUGACACAGGAUAUGACUAGGUUAGUUACUCACAGGAAUUUAGAAGUAAUAAAUAAGAAAGUAAAUCUGGUUUCAUUGUGCUCCUCCCUUGAUUCUUAGGUGUAGGGGCAUAGAAAGCAUUAUUUUCUGCUCUCUGAAUAAAAGCUUCAAUUUGAGCUAGUCCUCUGCAUUUUAGUCAGAACCAGAUACAGUUAGACUUAAUCCACAGUUCAUUGGAACUGUGGAAAAUGUGAUUUAUUUCCAGAAAUGAGAAGACAGUGAAGGAGCAUGACCUUCUGAGAAAAGGAGUGGUUAGCAUUAUACAACACGUAGCAUUGAUAGACUUUGCUUGUACUCUGUAUACCUUCGAAGAGAGCAGGGAGAAGUUGCACACCCCUCAGCUUUGUCUGCCUACCCUCAAAUAUUUAUGUACUACAUUUUCUUACUUUCCUGAGUAGUUCUUGUUCAGAGACACAACCAUAAUAAAGCGAUUUGCAGUGUGUUAUCAGAUCUGUGUUCAUAUCCUCUCUCAAACACACAAAUACUUCUGCCAUUUUUCACUAACUUUGAAUGUUAUUUUAAAGCUGUAAUAAAGGUAGCCUUUAUUACAUCUAUGCCAAGUACCUGAUCAUGGAAUUAACUGGCAUUUCUUACUCACAAGAAGCCCCAGUGUUGUCUACCAGCUUAGCUCAACAGCUCUCUUUGGUCAGAUCUAAAGGACAUACGUUUUAAAGAUGUGAAAAAAUUUGUUUUCAAAACUAAAAUUCAUAGAGAUAAAAAUGGAGAAAUUCAGUGGGAAUUUGAUGCUGACUCUCAGUUUUAUUUCUCUCAUUCUCUGAAGCAAGGAAGAAGAUGCAGCUGAAAUUCAUGUCAGUCUUCUCUCAGGACUGUAAUUGUUUCUUUCCCUGCUACCAGCUCCGUCCCUCGCCCAACAAUGUCUGUGUAGAGUACCAAAGUACUUGCAGGUGUGUUUGGCCCAACUUCUACUAGGUCGUAGAGCCAUCUCUUCCCAUCCUGAGGAUUUUGUGCUUGCUUUGUGGCAUGGGCAAAGAGCAGAGGAAGGAGAGCAGGAGUUUAGGGCCAGUUUGUAAUUUGACCUUGGCAUUAGAAAAAGUAACUCAAAGGAAACUUGAAUGCUUUCAAGGUAAAAGUAGUCUAGACCUCAGGUCUCCAACUCCCUGCUACAUGAUCUAACCUAUAAACCAUGUUUGUCCCCAUUUUAUACAGAAUGAGAUUUGUUCUAAAGGAAUCACUCACUUUGAGUGAAACGUUGGCCUCUAACCAACCUCCUCACCCUGUUAACCUUCAGGCAGGGCUGGAAACUCGGUUCCUUCACUGAGCUAAUCCUAUCAGUAAAGUUGGAGCAGGCUAGUCUGCUGAGAUUUAUUGCUUUCCCACUUGAUGGCUAAUUACCUGUGAGUAAUUAUA
ensembl:lncRNA